UACGUAGGUGGCAAGCGAUACUCGGAAUCACUAGGCGUAAAGCGCAGGUAGGCGGUUCGGUAAGGCUUUUGUGAAAGCUCCCGGCUCAACUGGGAGAGGCCAAGGGAAACUGCUGGACUAGAGUGUGGUAGGGGAUACUGGAAUUCCUGGUGUAGCGGUGAAAUGCGUAGAUAUCAGGAGGAAUACCUAUGGCGAAAGCAGGUAUCUGGGCCAUCACUGACGCUGAGCUGCGAAAGCUAGGGGAGCAAACAGG
rnacentral:rRNA from 1 species